ACUCAAAUGAAUAGACGGGGGCCCGCACAAGCGGUGGAUCAUGUGGUUUAAUUCGAAGCAACGCGAAGAACCUUACCUGGGCUUGACAUCCUAAUGAAUAUUUUUAGAGAUAGAAAUAGGCUCGCAAGAGACAUUAGAGACAGGUGCUGCAUGGCUGUCGUCAGCUCGUGUUGUGAAAUGUUGGGUUAAGUCCCGCAACGAGCGCAACCCCUGUCUUUGGUUGCCAUCAUUAAGUUGGGCACUCCAGAGAGACUGCCGUCGUCAAGACGGAGGAAGGUGGGGAUGACGUCAAGUCCUCAUGGCCCUUAUGUCCAGGGCGACACACGUGAUACAAUGGUAGGUAUAGAGAGUAGCGAAGUGGCGACACGGAGCCAAUCUCAAAAAGCCUAUCUCAGUUCGGAUUGAAGUCUGCAACUCGACUUCAUGAAGUUGGAAUCGCUAGUAAUCGCGGAUCAGAACGCCGCGGUGAAUACGUUCCCGGGCCUUGUACACACCGCCCGU
rnacentral:rRNA from 1 species